rnacentral:rRNA from 1 species
GACGAACGCUGGCGGCGUGCCUAAUACAUGCAAGUCGAGCGAAGUUUUUCUGGUGCUUGCACCGGAAAAACUUAGCGGCGAACGGGUGAGUAACACGUAAAGAACCUGCCUCAUAGACUGGGACAACUAUUGGAAACGAUAGCUAAUACCGGAUAACAGCAUUAACUGCAUGGUUGAUGUUUAAAAGUUGGUUUUGCUAACACUAUGAGAUGGCUUUGCGGUGCAUUAGCUAGUUGGUGGGGUAAAGGCCUACCAAGGCGACGAUGCAUAGCCGACCUGAGAGGGUGAUCGGCCACACUGGGACUGAGACACGGCCCAGACUCCUACGGGAGGCAGCAGUAGGGAAUCUUCCGCAAUGGGCGAAAGCCUGACGGAGCAACGCCGCGUGAGUGAAGAAGGAUUUCGGUUCGUAAAGCUCUGUUGUUAGGGAAGAAUGAUUGUGUAGUAACUAUACACAGUAGAGACGGUACCUAACCAGAAAGCCACGGCUAACUACGUGCCAGCAGCCGCGGUAAUACGUAGGUGGCAAGCGUUGUCCGGAAUUAUUGGGCGUAAAGCGCGCGCAGGUGGUUUAAUAAGUCUGAUGUGAAAGCCCACGGCUCGACCGUGGAGGGUCAUUGGAAACUGUUAAACUUGAGUGCAGGAGAGAAAAGUGGAAUUCCUAGUGUAGCGGUGAAAUGCGUAGAGAUUAGGAGGAACACCAGUGGCGAAGGCGGCUUUUUGGCCUGUAACUGACACUGAGGCGCGAAAGCGUGGGGAGCAAACAGG